rnacentral:lncRNA from 1 species
GCAUAAAUCAAGUCCGCGGGGCAUGGAGGCUGCUGUCGCUGCAGCAGCUCAGCUUGCCCGGGGCGGGAACUCCCCCUUUCUCCUUUCGCCUCCCCAGCACCCACACCCUGUCUCCCCCUUAAUUCUUCCCUGGAUAAUAGCACCCUAACGACAACAGUCAUAAUAAUAGGGUUAGAACGACAGGGGAGGAAAACUCAACAGCCUAAAUAUCUCUGAAAACUGCAUCGCAAAAUGGAAGAAAGAGGGGGUCCCACUACUGUUUCAAAAGAGUAAGUUAUUAUUCGGAGCCAUGGAAGUCAAAUGCUGAGGAUGGUGGCAUCAUAGGAUGAAUGGAGCUGGGUUCUUGAAACACUGCCUGGAGGAAAGACAGCAAAAAUGCCUCAUGAAUCCAACUGGACUGUUAGGAUGCUCACCCUUGGAGACCAGCAACAAUGUGUGCAGAAACCCAGGCCAUGUGGAGAGGCCCCACAUACGUGUCCAACUGAGGUCCCAGCUGACAGCUGGCAUUGACAUAAUGUUCACUCUGGGGGAAGCCAGCUGCCACGCUGUAAGGACACUCGGGCAGUCCUAUGAAGAGGCCCGUGUGGUGAGAAAGAGAGGCCUCCAGCCAACAGCCAUAGAUGGGGUCUUGCUAUGUUUCCCAGUUGGAGUGCAGUGAUUAUUCACAGACAUGAUCCCACUACUGAUCAGCAUGGGAGUUUUCACCUGCUCCAUUUCCCACCUGGGAGGUCAUCAUAUUGAUGGCGAGCUAAGUGUGGACACCUGAUCAGCAUAGCACAGUACAGCCCAGAACCCCUGGGCUCCAGUGAUCCUCUUACUUCAGCCUCUUGAGUAGCUGGAACUACAGGCCUGCACCACUGCACCCGGCUAGUUUGUUUUUGUUAGAGUUUUGUCUCUAGGAUUUUCCUCAGCUGAGUAUGUGAAGGCUAACUUCUCCUUGUGAAUCUGCAAAUAUCCUUAUUUUACCCUUUAUUUUACCAUGUAUCAUUUACAGGUAAAUGAUAUCUUAGCUGUGUAUUGAAUUUCUGUUUUUUGUUUUUUCUUCAGUACUCUAUAAAUAUUACUCCAGUAUCUUCUAGCUUCUCCCAUUUUCUCCUAGUGAAUGGUUAUUCUGCUCUUAUCUAGCAGGUGAUAAAUCUGUCAACAGAUAGUUUUUCCUUUUUGUUUUAUGUGUAAGUUGUUAUUUCUUCCUUAAAGUUCAUAAUCUUUUCCCAUUUAUUCUCUAAAUUUUAGACUAUAACCAGGAUGUGUUUAGGUUGAUAUCUUUGCUUAUCUAUUCUGCCUGGAAAUCAGGAACCUCUUCCAAUAUUCAGACUUGUGUUUUCAGCUCAGAAUAAUUAUUUUAUCAUUUGUUUGAUUAUUCCUUUAGUUGCACUGGAUCUUAGUUAAAAUGCCCAUUCUGAUUCAAAGUAUCUGGAAGGCAAGUAUUUGUCAACUAAGGGAAAGGUGACCAUGCAUCAUUGGUUUUGCUGAGACUACCUGGUUUACACCUUCAGGCUUUAUACUUAGAAAAUAUUGCGAUCAUCUUCUGGUCAUGAAGUUACAAACUUCAGGACAAAGGCUAACCAGCUAAGACUAGCAGAGCAAAUUCCAAGAACUUGGGGCUUUAAUUAACUUGAAUUGAUUUGGACUUGCCCUACCUUUAACUUCACACUGAGAUAAAAAUUCCCCACAUUUUCAAGCCAUUUUUGAGAUGAGUCUCUUAUGGUUGAAAGCAUCCUAAUUUAUACAACAUCCUUUUGGUACCUAACUAAAUAUUCACCAAUAUUUGGCACAUUUGUUAAAUCUUUUGGUGUGUGCCUCUUCUAUGUAAUGUAAAUAUGGUCUGAAUAUCCAUUCAGAAAUUAUAGUUGAUUUGCAAAAAUAACUACUAUAUCACCUAUAUUAAUUGAUAGUUAUUCCUUCCCAACCUUCUUUCACUCUUCCAUAUAUAUACAGAGUAAAUCUACAUCAUUAUGUUGAUUAAACAAAAUAGCAGUGAAAUCAGGAUGUUACUGCUCAUUGUGCAUUUAUUUCAAUUAUGGAAAAAGCCAACACUUUACUCCCUUAUUUAACACUUCUGUAGAAAAGCAGUUGAAAUAACCUAGUGUCAUUCUAAAAUGAUUUGUAUACUAUGUAGACCAGAAUCUAGGGCUAUACCUAAAAAUACAUAAAUGAAAUUAUUCUAGAAGUUAAAUCUUCAUGAAAAAACAAAUUAAAUGGUUUACUAACCUCAAGCUGAUUAAAUGUUUUUAUUAAAUGCAGCCUCAGCCAGCACCUCUUUUCAUGGCUGCAAUAAUUAAGUAUAAUAAAUAUUCAAAUCAGUAAUUGAAUUUGUUAAAAAAAACAUGCUCAGCUCAGUGAAGACUUUCUAAUAAAUAGAAUUCAGGUACCAUAUUUUCAUACUUCAUGACACUUGCCUCAUCUUAGUUUGAUGACUGCCGUUUCUUGCACUGUAACAAGAUUUUAUUUUUAUUUUGUUUUACGCUAUUCAAACAAAUACAUUCAAAGUCAUAGGCUACACCUAUGUAUAACCAUAUUCUGAGAGUUGGCUUAUGUGUUUGUUUAUUUUCUCACAAUUAAAGAUAGGUCAGAUGUUGCCAAAUUAGUAAAUAACUAAACUUGAGAUGGGAAAUACUCUAGAGACACAAUCUGCUUAGUUUUGCAUAGUUUUGCAUAGUUUUAGUCACUUUUCCCGUUACUCUGUCCAGCUUUCCAGUAAUACUCAUAACAUUGCCUUGAUUUCAUAUGACCACGCAGUAAAGUGAUUACUGCACUUAGAAUUUUGUUGCUUUUGCUGUGCUAACAACUUAAAAGUUUAAAAUAACUGAUGUUCAAAACAGUGAAGAUUUCCUUUUAUAAACAAGUUGGAAAGGAAAGUUUUUAUGUUAUUAUCCUCAAGUAUUCUAACUAAUAUAAAAUGUCUUUCAGUCUUUUAGGCAAACCAUUUAGACAAAAAGUACAAAUAAUAAAUUUACAUUGUGUUAAGCUGC